rnacentral:misc_RNA from 1 species
CAUAUCUGGUUGAGAUCAAGCAUUCCAGAUGGUCAACCCAAAUUGUUACUUUCUAUAAUCCCAUCUUCCAACUACCCAUUGUUGAACUUCAUGCUCACUACUUCCAUAUAUGGAGCAGUUUCUUACAGACUUUUUGAUUUGACAAAUACAUUGAAAGUAGCAUUUGUCCCCAGUAGGGACAAUAAGCGCCUUGCAUACAACAUAAUUACAGGAGCAGUGAUUGCAAGUGUUCUGUACUUCAUCUCCUUUAUAUUCUUAAAAAUCCCUCAGAUACUGGUGUGACAACAAGGCUGCAAGCUCCUGAAUCAGUUUCCUUUGAACACAUGAGAAGAACGUUGUUCCACUUCUAGAUUUUUCACCCCAACAAAAACAUUGAAGCUACAGAAUGGAUUCAUUUCAUACUUUUCACUGGCGAGAUAAAUGGAAAAGGAUGUGCUUAGAGUUUGUGACAUAUAUUGUAUAGGGGAAAAGUUAGUAAUUGAGAUGAUCUCCAAGGUAGGGCUAUUUGUUUUAUUGUUUUUUCAUUUAUUCGCCACCACAUUAAAAUGAUUGC